GUGUAGUCCAAAACAUCUGGAGUGCCUAAGGUUGCCUAUCCCUGCACUAGAGGCAUGUUAUCAGACAAAACAUGUUUCCCAUUGUCCCAGAAAUACUCCAAUACAGUAUGACAUAGUGCUUUUGGUGGUCAGUGCCCCUUUAACCCCUUAAGGACUGAGACAAAUGUACAUGUUUUGAUCAAAAUAAAACGUAAACAAAACUUGGAAUUUGACUAUAUGUCUGUUCAAC